CUGCUAGUUUGGCUGCACUGGUUCGCGGCGGGAUUGACGUCGGUGUCACCCUCAAUUACCUAAUUGAAGGAGAGGGGAAGCUCUACCCUGGCAUUUGUUUCUCGAUCUACCACGGUCACGACCCCAUGAAGAUUAACAUACAAGCUUGGUAUCAGAUACGUUCUAAGUUUAAGAUUAGAGGCUGGCGAUUCUGGAAGUGGAGAUGGACCUGGGGAAACAGAAAGACGUGGAGACCAUCGUCGCUGUCUUGGAGCCUGGGAAAAUCUAGUAGAAGACUCAUCGCUAGAGCGGGCAAAUGCUAGGCAUGUUUGUUAUAUGAAUUACA